AGAAAUGCAUUGACAAGGAUACGUUUUCAUUCUUCAAGCAUCUCCAGAGAGCUGCCGUAUGGUGCGAGGCAGUGAUGUCGAAUGAGUUCAUCCCCUUGAAGCAGCCUUUGUGAAUCCUGGUUUGGCAGUAGUAAAGGACGGAAACCCACCGUUAACGGGGUACAGAUUUAGAAGAAGCUCUGAUCUGAUUGAGUGGUCGGCAUGGCCGGCAAGAGAAGUGGUAACGCGAAUUGAUUUCGUCUUCUCG
rnacentral:ncRNA from 1 species